rnacentral:rRNA from 1 species
GACGAACGCUGGCGGCGUGCCUAAUACAUGCAAGUAGAACGCUGAAGGAGGAGCUUGCUUCUCUGGAUGAGUUGCGAACGGGUGAGUAACGCGUAGGUAACCUGCCUGGUAGCGGGGGAUAACUAUUGGAAACGAUAGCUAAUACCGCAUAACAGUAGAUAUCGCAUGAUAUCUACUUGAAAGGUGCAAUUGCAUCACUACCAGAUGGACCUGCGUUGUAUUAGCUAGCUGGUGAGGUAACGGCUCACCAAGGCGACGAUACAUAGCCGACCUGAGAGGGUGAUCGGCCACACUGGGACUGAGACACGGCCCAGACUCCUACGGGAGGCAGCAGUAGGGAAUCUUCGGCAAUGGACGGAAGUCUGACCGAGCAACGCCGCGUGAGUGAAGAAGGUUUUCGGAUCGUAAAGCUCUGUUGUAAGAGAAGAACGAGUGUGAGAGUGGAAAGUUCACACUGUGACGGUAUCUUACCAGAAAGGGACGGCUAACUACGUG